GUGUCGCGUUCCCGCGGAGCCAAUCAGCGUCUCCGCGGUUCCGGGUUACAAAGUUCCCAUGCAGCCGCCCGCACUCAGAUCGUCCCAGACCCUAAGGAAGGGGGCCAUGGCGCCCCGAACCUCCUCCUGCUGCUCUCGGCGGCCGUGGCCCUGACCGAGACCUGGGCGGGAGGGGACAGUUCCCAGGGCUCUGAUUCUUCUCUCACAGCUUGAAAAGGUGACACCUCGAGGGUCAAGUUGGCACUAGAGUGUGGGACAGCUGCCUUAUGAGGACUGAGCCACACAGGAUCUGUGCAGGCCUCUCCCCGUUCUUCCUCCUGUGAGGUUGCAGUGGGCUGAGAUUCUCACUUCCCUGUUGAAAAUAAGAAUGUGGAUAUGGAUUUGAUCAAAUUCUUGCCAUGAGAUGAAGUUGCUGAGCUAAUUAAAUCAAAGGAAGAUUAAUAAAACUUUGAGAGAAAAUAGAACUUGACA
ensembl:lncRNA